GGGUUUGGGGCUCAGUGGUAGAGCGCUUGCCUUGCACACAUGAAGCACUGAGUUCAAUCCUCAGCACCA
rfam:Ictidomys tridecemlineatus contig090604, whole genome shotgun sequence.